rnacentral:rRNA from 1 species
UACGGAGGGUGCAAACGUUGCUCGGAAUCAUUGGGCGUAAAGCGCACGUAGGCGGCUCGUUAAGUCGGACGUGAAAUCCCUCGGCUUAACCGGGGAACUGCGUCCGAUACUGGAUGGCUUGAGUGUGGGAGAGGGAUGCGGAAUUCCAGGUGUAGCGGUGAAAUGCGUAGAUAUCUGGAGGAACACCGGUGGCGAAGGCGGCAUCCUGGACCACGACUGACGCUGAGUGAGCGAAAGCCAGGGGAGCAAACGGG